rfam:Ovis aries breed Texel chromosome 1, whole genome shotgun sequence.
UUUCUGUGAUCAAACUGUGGUACAUACAUACAAUGAAAAUGUAACAAUACUUUUUAUAACAUGGAUGAAUCUCAAAAACAUUAUGCUGCUUGUCCCUGCCCCUUGCCUCUUAGAACAUCCUUAAUGUGCUCAGCUGAGUGUUCUGUGGGCCCAGAGUGUUUACUUUUUUAAAAAAAGUAUUCAAAGCCAUUCCAAGCCCCUUGAAGAACACAGUUAUGAAUAAGGAAAUAGGACCACUGUUUUGUUGGUCUUCAGAAUUGAAGCCAUGGUGUGAGGGAUAGCUAGGGGAUAUUUGUAUUGUGCUGCUAGAGGUGAAAUUCAUGACCAGACAGAAGAAAUAUAAAAUAUGAGUAUUUAUCAAGAAUAUUUGAGUUUCAUCCUUGAUUAAGGUAGGGACAAAGCAAUACAAAAUUAGACUGUGAUAAUGUAAUUCCCAUGACUUUUUAGGAUAGCUUCUGAGAAACCAAUCUUUGAGUUCAAGGGGCUGCAUGGCUGCAAAGCUUAAACUUCAGGGAAUUGAGGAAGAGAACCCCCAGAAGUGGUACCCGUGGUAUAAUUUGACUCAGCUGGGGGAUCCUUGGCUAGUCUAGACAGAAUAUAUAGAUACAUACAGUGUACUGUCCAUUCUAAGUUGGUAAAGAAAUUUGUUUGGUUAAUUCCGAUAAGGAAGGAGAUUCUGGCACGCUAAGUAGUUACAUGACCCUGAGCAGCCAGUGUCCCUCAGCUUCUUACAGGAACAAGUUGUGUUCAGUCACUCCAGAUGGAGUAUUAACCAGUCCGUGAUAACUUUGGAUGGCCAUGGAUGCCUCAGCUGUACUGUCCAGCUCCAGGUAUGCCUAACAGAUGCCAGCAGGUUUGGGUAACUCAUUGAACUCCAUUCUCCUAUCUGGAACUGCAGUUAUUCCUCCUGAAGGAAGAGUUACCAGUAAGUGCAGGUCAUAAACUUGCAUUAAGUCCCUGCCCUUCAUCCAGCCAGCCAGUCUCUCUUAACAACUGUACAGUGCAGUGAAACACUGGGGUCAGCCCCUCUGCAAAGGCCAUGACCCUGAUGGAGCUCUGAGAAGAUGGUUGAAUUUAACUUUGUAAAAAAAGUCAAAGUCACCACAAGGCUUCCUUAAAAGAACAUGGGAGUGUCAAGA